UACGGAACUUCCUCAGGGACCACAUUAAUAUAAAAAAUAUAUAAACACAAUCACAAAGGAUCAUAGCAUAUCCUCUUUAAUAUGAUAUAUGCUAUGAUCAUUUGUGAUUGUGUAUAUAUAUAUUUUUUAAAUUAUUGUGGUCCCUGAGGAAGUUCCGG